GCUUGCCCAGCUGAGGCAUUGGAGCAGGGCAUUUUGAUAGCGGCUGGAGGGCAGGCAGCUCAACCUCUAAACCCCCGUGGUCUGGGCACCAAGUCCUGUCCUGGGCACAGGACACCAUCCUCCAGCGAGACCAAACCCAGCUUCUCUACAGCACCGGGAAGAAGGCAAGCUGGGUCACCUGGGCGUGGCCCCAGGAAGGAAAAUCCUCCACGGUCCUGUUGACAGAUGUGGUAUCAAAUGAAUUGUUCUCUGCUUAGACACGACUUUGAUAUUUAUUGGUUCAAAUUGCUCGGCUGACUCAGUCUUGCGGACUCUGUGAUUACACUGGACCUAUCCAAGAUCCGAGAUAAUCAACUCAUCUCAAAAUCCUUAAGUUGACCACAGCAGCAUCGUCCCUUUUGCAGUGUAAGGGAGCCCAGCUGGGACAGUGUGUGAAUCAACGCAUGAAGGAGUGAGUGAGCAGCUAACCAAAUGAAGGAACACUCAAAUAUCUGGGGUACAGUUCCCCUCCAGGUUUGCACAGCAUCUGCUGAAGUCUCCACUAGAAACUCAGUGGAAGGUCC
rnacentral:lncRNA from 1 species